rnacentral:rRNA from 1 species
ACGGGCUCUUCGGAGCUAGUGGCGGACGGGUGAGUAACGCGUGAGAAUCUGCCUCCAGGUCUGGGACAACAGAAGGAAACUUCUGCUAAUCCCGGAUGAGCCCUUGGGUAAAAGAUAAAUUGCCUGGAGAUGAGCUCGCGUCUGAUUAGCUAGUUGGUGUGAUAAAAGCAUACCAAGGCGACGAUCAGUAGCUGGUCUGAGAGGAUGAGCAGCCACACUGGGACUGAGACACGGCCCAGACUCCUACGGGAGGCAGCAGUGGGGAAUUUUCCGCAAUGGGCGAAAGCCUGACGGAGCAAGACCGCGUGGGGGAGGAAAGCUCUAGGGUUGUAAACCCCUUUUCUUUGGGAAGAAGUACUGACGGUACCAAAGGAAUCAUCCUCGGCUAACUCCGUGCCAGCAACCGCGGUAAUACAGAGGAGGCAAGCGUUAUCCGGAAUGAUUGGGCGUAAAGCGUCCGCAUGUGGCCAUGUAAGUCUGCU